rnacentral:rRNA from 1 species
GACGAAGGUGGCUAGCGUUAUUCGGAUUCACUAGGCAUAAAGCGCGCGUAGGCGGCUCUUCAAGUCGGAGGUAAAAGCCUACAGCUCAACUGCGGAACGGCCUUCGAUACUGUCGAGCUUGAGUGCAAGAGGGGUGAUCGGAACUCCAGGUGUAGCAGUGAAAUGCGUAGAUAUCUGGAGGAACACCGGAGGCGAAGGCGAAUCACUAAACUGUCACUGACGCUGAGGCGCGAAAGCUAGGAGAGCAAACAGG